rnacentral:tRNA from 1 species
ACUGAAAUAGCUCAGUUGGUAGAGCGGCAGACUAUAAAUCGAGAGGUCCUUGGUUCGAUUUGCGGUUCCGGCA